rnacentral:sRNA from 2 species
CGAUGUGGAUCGCCUAGUCCUGUCACCACGCCCGGGUCACCAGCAAGACCGCUUGGCAGGAGCGGGGGACCCACUUUUGGUCCGUCUCCGGACGGUCCUCGGGGUGAAGUCCUCACCAGAGCGCCCGCAAGGUCGGGAGGCAACCGUGAGGGCCGGGUGACCUACCUCCACCCGAACCCGACAGCUCACCUCGUAGGCGUCGGAGGUUCUCUGA